rnacentral:rRNA from 1 species
GUAGUCCACGCCGUAAACGUUGGGAACUAGAUGUGGGGGCCAUUCCACGGCUUCCGUGUCGCAGCUAACGCAUUAAGUUCCCCGCCUGGGGAGUACGGCCGCAAGGCUAAAACUCAAAGGAAUUGACGGGGGCCCGCACAAGCGGCGGAGCAUGCGGAUUAAUUCGAUGCAACGCGAAGAACCUUACCAAGGCUUGACAUAUACGAGAACGCUGCAGAAAUGUAGAACUCUUUGGACACUCGUAUACAGGUGGUGCAUGGUUGUCGUCAGCUCGUGUCGUGAGAUGUUGGGUUAAGUCCCGCAACGAGCGCAACCCUCGUUCUAUGUUGCCAGCACGUUAUGGUGGGAACUCAUAGGAGACUGCCGGGGUCAACUCGGAGGAAGGUGGGGAUGACGUCAAAUCAUCAUGCCCCUUAUGUCCAGGGCCACACACGUGCUACAAUGGGCGGUACAAAGGGUCGCGAACCCGCGAGGGGGAGCCAAUCCCAAAAAGCCGCUCUCAGUUCGGAUUGGAGUCUGCAACUCGACUCCAUGAAGUUGGAAUCGCUAGUAAUCGCGGAUCAGCACGCCGCGGUGAAUA